UAAUAGUGUAUAUUAAAGUUGUUGCAGUUAAAAAGCUCGUAGUUGAAUGUUGGUGUCGAACGAGCGGUCAGCUUCGGCUGUACUGCUCUCUCGACUCCUUCCUUCUGUGGACUACGUCGCACUUUACUGUGUGGCGCUAGGACGCAGAUCGUUUACUGUGAAAAAAUUAGAGUGUUCAAAGCAGGCCGUACGCUUGAAUACAUUAGCAUGGAAUAAUGGAAUAGGACGCCGGGCCUAUUUUGUUGGUUCUAGGACCGUCGUAAUGAUUAAUAGGGACAGUUGGGGCCGUUUAUAUUCCGUAGUCAGAGGUGAAAUUCUUGGAUUUACGGAAGAUAAACUACUGCGAAAGCAUUCGGCAAGGAUGUUUUCGUUAA
rnacentral:rRNA from 1 species